CUACGUGCCAGCAGCCGCGGUAAUACGUAGGUGGCAAGCGUUGUCCGGAAUUAUUGGGCGUAAAGCGCGCGCAGGCGGAUCAGUUAGUCUGUCUUAAAAGUUCGGGGCUUAACCCCGUGAUGGGAUGGAAACUGCUGAUCUAGAGUAUCGGAGAGGAAAGUGGAAUUCCUAGUGUAGCGGUGAAAUGCGUAGAUAUUAGGAAGAACACCAGUGGCGAAGGCGACUUUCUGGACGAAAACUGACGCUGAGGCGCGAAAGCCAGGGGAGCGAACGGGAUUAGAUACCCCGGUAGUCCUGGCCGUAAACGAUGGGUACUAGGUGUAGGAGGUAUCGACCCCUUCUGUGCCGGAGUUAACGCAAUAAGUACCCCGCCUGGGGAGUACGACCGCAAGGUUGAAACUCAAAGGAAUUGACGGGGGCCCGCACAAGCGGUGGAGUAUGUGGUUUAAUUCGACGCAACGCGAAGAACCUUACCAGGUCUUGACAUUGAUGGACAGAACUAGAGAUAG
rnacentral:rRNA from 1 species